UUUUACAUUUAAUCAAAGAUAACGUCCUCCAGAGGCUAUUUUUCAAUCUCAUCAGACCAUUGGGGGAGUGUGUGUGUAGCCGUCCCAGGCAACAGCCAGGAUUCUGAAUUGUCUCUCCCCACUAUCAGCUGUACGUCCUGUGGAGCAGAACAACUCUUCAGGGCAUGGAUAUCUGGGGUGCUACUGAGGACGCUCCUGAGACGACGCUGUCCAGUUUUCCCAGCUCCACUUAUUGAAGAAGCUGUCUUUUCUCCAUUGUAUAUUCUUGCCUCCUUUGUCAAAG